CCCUUAGAUGUUCUGGGCUGCACGCGUGUUACAAUCGGGAGUACAACAAGAUUGCAAAUCCUAGUGGAUGAGUGGUUCUUCGAAAUUUUCUGAAGACUGGGAUAGUUGAUUGAAAUUAUUCAACUCAAACGAGGAAUUCCUUGUAAUUGUAAUUCAUUAUAUUGUAAUGAAUACGUCCCUGCCCUUUGUACACACCGCCCGUCGCUCCUACCGAUUGAACGAUCCGGUGAAUUAUUUGGAGUAGCUCUGGAAGUUGCAGAACUUCCUAUGUCACGAAAUUUUGUAAACCUUAUCGUUUAGAGGAAGGAAAAGCCGUAACA
rnacentral:rRNA from 1 species